UACAGAGGGGGCUAGCGUUAUUCGGAAUUAUUGGGCGUAAAGGGCGCGUAGGCGGCCAUGCGUGUCUUCCGUGAAAUCCCUCGGCUUAACUGAGGACGUGCGGAAGAAACUGCAAGGCUCGAGUCCGGGAGAGGGGGGUGGAAUUCCCAGUGUAGCGGUGAAAUGCGUAGAUAUUGGGAGGAACACCCGUGGCGAAGGCGGCUCUCUGGGACGGUACUGACACUGAGACGCGAAAGCGUGGGGAGCGAACAGG
rnacentral:rRNA from 1 species